AUGAACGCUGGCGGCGUGCCUAAUACAUGCAAGUCGAGCGAACGGACGAGAAGCUUGCUUCUCUGAUGUUAGCGGCGGACGGGUGAGUAACACGUGGAUAACCUACCUAUAAGACUGGGAUAACUUCGGGAAACCGGAGCUAAUACCGGAUAAUAUUUUGAACCGCAUGGUUCAAAAGUGAAAGACGGUCUUGCUGUCACUUAUAGAUGGAUCCGCGCUGCAUUAGCUAGUUGGUAAGGUAACGGCUUACCAAGGCAACGAUGCAUAGCCGACCUGAGAGGGUGAUCGGCCACACUGGAACUGAGACACGGUCCAGACUCCUACGGGAGGCAGCAGUAGGGAAUCUUCCGCAAUGGGCGAAAGCCUGACGGAGCAACGCCGCGUGAGUGAGGAAGGUCUUCGGAUCGUAAAACUCUGUUAUUAGGGAAGAACAUAUGUGUAAGUAACUGUGCACAUCUUGACGGUACCUAAUCAGAAAGCCACGGCUAACUACGU
rnacentral:rRNA from 1 species